UGUGGUUACAAUAGCAGAGAGGAUACACCUGUUCCCAUUCCGAACACAGAAGUUAAGCUCUCUAGCGCUGAUG
rnacentral:rRNA from 1 species